UUAAGACUCAUUAACAUAUACAUUUUCUCCUUACAACUAGAUUGCUUGGUUAUGAAGGGGUAGAAGUUAUAAAUCCAGAAGGUGGCAAGGAAGAUGCUGAAGAGGAAGCUCAGAGAGGAAGAUGGCAACAGGAGGAACGUGAUAGUUAUUGGAAGAUGAUGCAAAAAUAUAUUGGUUCUGAUGUCACGUCAAUGGUGACACUACCUGUCCUUAUAUUUGAGCCAAUGACAAUGCUUCAAAAAAUGGCAGAGUUAAUGGAAUAUUCGUACCUUUUGGAUCAAGCAGAUGAAUGUGAGGAUCCCUACAUGCGGCUGGUGUAUGCAUGUGAGUAUAGAUUGUCAGCACUUCAAUGAUGGG